rnacentral:snRNA from 1 species
GCAUUCACUUUGGCAGCACAUACUCUUAAAUUGAAAUGACAUAAAGAUUAGCAUGGCCCCUGCACAAGGAUGGCAAGCAAAUUCAUGAAGCAUUCCAUAUUUUC